GAGUAAUAUAUCGGAACGUGCCCAGUCGUGGGGGAUAACGUAGCGAAAGCUACGCUAAUACCGCAUACGAUCUAUGGAUGAAAGCGGGGGAUCGCAAGACCUCGCGCGAUUGGAGCGGCCGAUAUCAGAUUAGCUAGUUGGUGAGGUAAAGGCUCACCAAGGCGACGAUCUGUAGCUGGUCUGAGAGGACGACCAGCCACACUGGAACUGAGACACGGUCCAGACUCCUACGGGAGGCAGCAGUGGGGAAUUUUGGACAAUGGGCGAAAGCCUGAUCCAGCAAUGCCGCGUGCAGGAUGAAGGCCUUCGGGUUGUAAACUGCUUUUGUACGGAACGAAAAAGCUUUCUCUAAUAAAGAGAGCUCAUGACGGUACCGUAAGAAUAAGCACCGGCUAACUACGUGCCAGCAGCCGCGGUAAUACGUAGGGUGCGAGCGUUAAUCGGAAUUACUGGGCGUAAAGCGUGCGCAGGCGGUUAUGUAAGACAGAUGUGAAAUCCCCGGGCUCAACCUGGGACCUGCAUUUGUGACUGCAUAGCUAGAGUACGGUAGAGGGGGAUGGAAUUCCGCGUGUAGCAGUGAAAUG
rnacentral:rRNA from 1 species